UACGGAGGGGGCUAGCGUUGUUCGGAAUUACUGGGCGUAAAGCGCACGUAGGCGGCUUUGCAAGUUAGAGGUGAAAGCCCGGAGCUCAACUCCGGAACUGCCAUUGAAACUGUUUAGCUGGAGUAUGAGAGAGGUGAGUGGAAUUCCCAGUGUAGAGGUGAAAUUCGUAGAUAUUGGGAAGAACACCGGUGGCGAAGGCGGCUCACUGGCUCAUUACUGACGCUCAUGCGCGACAGCGUGGGGAUCAAACAGG
rnacentral:rRNA from 1 species